rnacentral:misc_RNA from 1 species
GAAAAAAUUAACACAUGUCAUCCAGCUAAAACCCGCUUAGUAGACCUUCGCAAUACACCCAACCUAGGACGACAAAUGCUAGGUGAAAAAACCUAGAGAAGCAUAGUAAAAAACUCAAUACACAAGAAAAACCACACCUAAAACCACAAUGCAAAACAAUUUAGCCAGUAAGAAAAAGCUUAAUCAUCAAGAGAAAAUUAGAAACAGAGCUUAAAAGAGAGACAACGUGACAGACUUAUAGUAAAUUGAACAUAUCAAACUCCUUGAAUGCCCAAUAAGAGAAUUUAAAAAAAAAAAUCAACAGAGUAUAAGGAGAAUGCAGCCCAAGAGAAUUGCUAUAAUGACCAAGAAUUGUAGAAAGGUUGUCGCACUAUCUUGAAAAAAUUAAACCGAGGGAAAAUCUAGAAAAUCAAGUAGUCAGCAGCAUCUCCAUUGCAAUCAUCAUUGAAAGACAGUAAACUCAUGAGCUGAAAAUAAAGAAAGCAGAAGCAGCACCAAUACAAGAAAAGAUAACUAAAUCAAAUGAAAGCCAUAAAAUC